UUGCCGGCAUGUUAAAUGAAACAGUUUC
rnacentral:piRNA from 1 species